UGGGCAGCUCUGUAGGGAAUUUUCUAGAUUGAUGAUUGAUGUGGGCGGACUUAGUCCACUGCAGACAGUGCCACCCCUGAGUAGGUGGGCACCUGGCUUGGUGGCACACGCCUUUAGUCCCAAUACUCCGGAGGCAGAGGUACACGGAUAUCUGUGAGUUCCGGGACAGCCAGAGUUACAUAGACAGACCUUGUCUCAAAACAAAACAAAAACCCCACAACAACUACGAAAAGAAAGCAGGCAGAACAAGCUGUGGGGAGCAAGCAGUAAACCACUUUCUCCACAGCCUUCGCUUCAGCUCCUGCCUCUGGGUUCCUUGCGUUGAGUUCCUGCCCUCGUUUGCCUUCACGACAGACUAGAGACUAUAAACUGAAAUAAGCCUUUCCUCCUCAACUUGGUUUAUCACAGCGAUGAAAAGCAAGCUUAAAAAGGGCUGAACAGCGAAGGAGUGAGCCAGUUAUCAGAAUCUGGAAUGAAAAAGAUCUCUGAGAAGUGUUCUGAGGACUGGUGACCUUUACUGGAGGAACAGAGCAAGCCCAAGGAGGGCGUUGGGGGAUUACUGUGAUUGCAGACUCCAGCAUCCAGCUUCAGGUCCUCACACUUCCGUAGCGUUACCGGAUCCACUAAGCCACUCUUCACAGCUCCAGCACUGUUACUCAGGACUGCAGGCACCGAAUCUGUGGAGUUCACAUCUGACUCCACCAGCAGCAGCCGAGACGCUAACAUGUACUGUGUCAGUGUGAAGCUCUAGCUACAGUUUGGUGCCUUCUCUUAUUCUACUGGCCUAUGCCCCACAGGCCUACAUCUGUGUGGGUAGCAUGUGCUCUUGAGCCAGCCCUACAGCAACAGUUGCAACUCCAGGAAAUCCUGUCUCCUCAGCUGAGGCCAAGGGAGGAGGGAGCAGGGACCCAACUGGCCCAAAGAAACUGCCCCCUUCUAUUUCCCCUCUUCCUGAAAAGACUCUAAUUUCUUAAUAAAUCACAUGUCCUUCAAACUGGAUUAAAUGGCAGUUGCCAGCUGGGGGACACAUAAGGAAGUUUGCGGGUUCCCUGACACCCAUCUCCUGUGUGUUGUUUUCACUGACUGCUUUUGGCAUUUCCCAUUUCUGCUAUCAGCACCCUGGUUUCCUUUGGGAAACUACCCUGCCCCCACUCUCAGCUCAAAGAGUUCCUGUGUCAUUGACACAGCUCUGUCUGCUCCAGCACUAUUGGGAAGACACACUCUUUCCAGGAAGACCGAUGACAUCAAAAUGGAACUCUUGAGAGACAGCUUGUGAGUACGCGAGAAGAGAAGAGUGGUAACUCAGACUGGUGAGGUGGAGCCGGGUCUUGGUGACUGGAUGUGUGCACAUGGACCCAGCCUCCUCCUGGGUCUCACACUGAUGAAAGGGAACAAGCCUGUACACCUCUGGGUUUUAUUUGAUGUACUUCACCCAUUAAAGAGGAACUUUAGGAUUGAUGGUCAAAGAAAUUCUAAUUAGGGGCUAGGAUGUAGCUCAGUUGGGGCUGGAGAGAUAGCUCAGUGGUUAAAGGCACCUCUUCCAAAGGUUCUGAGUUCAAUUCCCAGCAACCACAUGGUGGCUCACAACCAUCUGAAAUGAAAUUUGGUUCCAUCUUGAGGAAGAGACCUGGUCAGUCGUCCUCAUCAACUUAGAACACGAAACCCAAUAUGGACAGGUUCAACAGAAGCGCCAUAUUUGGGCUGCCCAUGCCUGCUUCAGCAUUGCCAGGACACAUUUCAUUGUAAAUCUCAUGGAGCUCAGUUGGUGGAAUGCUUGCCUAGCUAGAAUUUAGGAGGCCAUGUGUUCAAUCCUUAGCACUACAGAGAAUCAGCACUGGGGAAGUAGAGGCAGGGUAAAAGUCCAAAGUCAUCCUCAGCUACAUGGUGAGUCUGAGGCCAGCCUGGGCUUACAUGAUACCCUGUAACAACAACAGCAGAAUCCCAAUUAGUUCACCUUCUGCAAAAUCAUUCUUACCCAAUCAGAAGGUGAACUUCACGGUUGCACCUUCCCUGGCGCUAAGGUAACGCUGCAAGGCCUUCUGCAUUUGAAGGGCACUUCACAGGGGAGAAGAGGAGGGUACAUAUUUGCUUCUAUGUUUAGGAUCAUGACUGAAAGUCAAACUCAGCUGAGAAUUGAAUUUCCCAGGUGGGGUUGGUGGCAUAAACCUACGACUCAGCACUUGGAAGUGGAGACAGGAGGAUCAGGCUUCCCAUCAAAAUUCUUGGGCAAGACGCUCAUGUGAAAGAAUCUGGAGUCUAUCCCUGACGCUGGGUGUGGGAACUGCCUACUUAUGUCUUCCCUAAAGGCUUGAUAGAAGUCAUUAUAUACGAACAUAUUUAUCUGAUUUUUAAAUCAUUGAACAUGGCGAGGAUGUGAUACUAUAAAAAUUAUUUAUGGACCCCAAAGCGGGGAAACUGUCGUCUUUUAGCGUGACUGAGGUCUAAUUGAGAAACAGGAAUUAUAUAUUGUCAAGGCGUGUGUUCUAGUUUGUUUUCUGUUACUUGUGAUAAAACCACAAGCUGACCCAAACCAGCUUGUGGAGGAAAGGGUUUAUUUCCUCUUACAGUCUGUAGUCCAUCAUGAAGGGGAGUUAGGGCAGGAACUCAAGGCAGGAACUGGAGGCAGGAACCGAAGCAGAGGCCAAAGAGGGGUAUUGUUUUCUGGCUUGCUUCCUAUGGCCUCCCAGCUUCCUUUUCACACAGCCUGACUACCCAAGGGUGGAACUGCCUACAAUGGGCAGGGCCCUCAUAUCAAUUAUUAAUCAAGAAAAUGCUCUGAGGACCUGUCCACAAGACCAUUUGAUAAACUCAUUUCCUUAAUUGAGGUUGAUCCUUUCUAGAUGACCCUAGCUUGUGUCAAAUUGGCAAAAUACAAAAGCAAAAACCAACCAAAAUAGCUACAAUGUGAUGUUUUUAUGUAUGUGUGCAUUGUAAAGUGUUUACUAUACUCAAACCAAUUAGCUCACCUACCACAUACUUAGUUACUUAAAUUCGCUCUAAAACAAACAAAAAUUCUUGCUCUGCAUUGUAUUUCUAGAGAAUAAAACAGAUGGCUAACUGGCAAAUCAUACCUUAACCGGAGACUGCCAGUUCUCAGAUUCUUUUCUUCUUUAGAUUUACCUUUA